rnacentral:rRNA from 1 species
UACGUAGGGUGCAAGCGUUGUCCGGAAUUAUUGGGCGUAAAGAGCUUGUAGGCGGUUUGUCGCGUCUGCUGUGAAAUUUCGGGGCUCAACCCCGAACUUGCAGUGGGUACGGGCAGACUAGAGUGUGGUAGGGGAGACUGGAAUUCCUGGUGUAGCGGUGAAAUGCGCAGAUAUCAGGAGGAACACCGGUGGCGAAGGCGGGUCUCUGGACCGAUACUGACACUGAGGAGCGAAAGCGUGGGGAGCGAACAGG